rnacentral:rRNA from 1 species
GACGAACGCUGGCGGCGUGCCUAAUACAUGCAAGUAGAACGCUGAAGGAGGAGCUUGCUUCUCCGGAUGAGUUGCGAACGGGUGAGUAACGCGUAGGUAACCUGCCUGGUAGCGGGGGAUAACUAUUGGAAACGAUAGCUAAUACCGCAUAAGAGUAGAUGUCGCAUGACAUUUGCUUAAAAGGUGCAACUGCACCACUACCAGAUGGACCUGCGUUGUAUUAGCUAGUUGGUGAGGUAACGGCUCACCAAGGCAACGAUACAUAGCCGACCUGAGAGGGUGGUCGGCCACACUGGGACUGAGACACGGCCCAGACUCCUACGGGAGGCAGCAGUAGGGAAUCUUCGGCAAUGGACGGAAGUCUGACCGAGCAACGCCGCGUGAGUGAAGAAGGUUUUCGGAUCGUAAAGCUCUGUUGUAAGAGAAGAACGAGUGUGAGAGUGGAAAGUUCACACUGUGACGGUAUCUUACCAGAAAGGGACGGCUAACUACGUG